CUUGUUCGGAGUUCUUGUGGACUCCAUGAUUCGACGCAUCAGAGCUCUUUUGGCAUCAUGAGGGAGACCAACAAAAUAUUAGGCAGGUGUUUUAAUGUUGACUAAUCAGUGUAUAUACAAACAUUCACAUACAAAUACUAUAUAACAUACAGUCACACAUGCACAUAUACAUUGUCACAUACACACAGUCAAGUGAAGUCAAACAGACACAGUCAC